rnacentral:rRNA from 1 species
UACAGAGGGUGCAAGCGUUGUUCGGAAUUACUGGGCGUAAAGCGCGUGUAGGCGGCGUCGUUAGUCGAAUGUGAAAGCCCUCGGCUCAACCGAGGAAGUGCAUCCGAUACUGCGACGCUUGAGUGUUGGAGGGGGUGGCGGAAUUCCCGGUGUAGAGGUGAAAUUCGUAGAUAUCGGGAGGAACACCUGUGGCGAAGGCGGCCACCUGGACAGCAACUGACGCUGAGACGCGAAAGCGUGGGUAGCAAACCGG